rnacentral:lncRNA from 1 species
CAGGGAUUAACCAUGUUAGGGAUAAAAACUCGUUCAAUCCUUUAUUUGGUGUGCUCUCACAGUGGCCAGAAGUGCAAAGAGCACCCUUCUGCAGAAGUAAAUUUGCCUUGCUGAGAAAUCAUUCAUCUGAGUGCUCGUUUUCCUUGCAACUCCGAGCUCUUGUUUCUAACAACUUUGGGGCUUGUCUGGGAUUGCCUUUCUGCUCUGGGGAGAGGUUCCCACCCAUCUCUCAUGAGGAGAUGUGUCCCAUUGCCUCGCUGUGGUAGUCUCAGGGAUGAGGGAUUGAGACCUCCCCAGCAUGGCGAAUAAACCUGGACUCUCUGCAACGGGGGUGAAAAGGAUCCUCACGUACUGCAGCAACCAGGUAACUCUGUGCACAGACCAAGCUUUUGCCAAAAGGAGUCCAAAAAGGCCAGCAAAAC